GAACUCAACCUCUCCCAAGCCUCGGGUCUUCCUUUGUGACCCUUAGACCAUGCCAUUAUGUGCUUCUCUUGAGUCCUCAUGUGGUCCACCAAUGGUUUUUUGCUACUCUUCCUUAGGUACUACCUUAAUGGCCUUGAGGUACUACCUUAGUGGCCUUGAGGUACUACCUUAAGGGACCCUAGGUACUACCUUAGAUAAACUUGAACUCAACCUCUCCCAAGUCUCGAGUCUUCCUUUGUGACCCUUAGACCAUGCCAUUAUGUGCUUCUCUUGAGUCCUCAUGUGGUCCACCAAUGGUUUUUUGCUACUAUUCCUUAGGUACUACCUUAAUGGCCUUGAGGUACUACCUUAGUGGCCUUGAGGUACUACCUUAAGGGACCCUAGGUACUACCUCAGCUAAACUUGAACUUAACCUCUCCCA
rnacentral:lncRNA from 1 species